rnacentral:misc_RNA from 1 species
AAGUCGUAACAAGGUCUCCGUUGGUGAACCAGCGGAGGGAUCAUUAUCGAGUUUAUUCAACUCCCAAACCCUAUGUGAACUUACCACUUGUUGCUUCGGCGGCGCUCCGGCGCUGCCGGGGGUAUCAAACUCUUAUUGUUUUUACAGCAUUAUCUGAGUGGCCGAAAGGCAAAAAACAAAUGAAUCAAAACUUUCAACAACGGAUCUCUUGGUUCUG